UUUGAGCCGAGGGGCAAUGUAGAAACGGCAGGUUGGCGCCCAACCGGACACAGCAACAUGAAGCCCGCCUAGCGUGAAGGACUAGCUGAAGCGCUAAGAAAUACUGAGCCUGUGCAACAGGCAGCUAGACAGUAGCUAA
rnacentral:sRNA from 12 species